rnacentral:rRNA from 1 species
UACGUAGGUGGCGAGCGUUGUCCGGAUUUACUGGGCGUAAAGCGUGCGUAGACGGCUAUCUAAGUCGGGUGUGAAAGCCCCGGGCUCAACCUGGGAAUUGCAUUCGAGACUGAAUAGCUAGGGUACGGUAGAGGGAAGCGGAAUUUCCGGUGUAGCGGUGAAAUGCGUAGAUAUCGGAAGGAACAUCAGUGGCGAAAGCGGCUUCCUGGACCAGUACCGACGUUCAGGCACGAAAGCGUGGGGAGCAAACAGG